UACAGAGGUCUCGAGCGUUAAUCGGAGUCACUGGGCUUAAAGGGUGCGUAGGCGGGCCCGCAAGUGCUUUGUGAAAUCCCACGGCUCAACCGUGGAAUUGCUCGGCAGACUGCGGGUCUUGAGGUCAGUAGGGGCUGCUGGAACUCUAGGUGGAGCGGUGAAAUGCGUAGAUAUCUAGAGGAACGCCAAAGGUGAAGACAGGCAGCUGGGCUGAUUCUGACGCUGAGGCACGAAAGCGUGGGUAGCAAACGGG
rnacentral:rRNA from 1 species